UACGGAGGGUGCGAGCGUUGUCCGGAAUCACUGGGCGUAAAGGGCGCGUAGGCGGCGCGACAAGUCAAUGGUGAAAGCCCGAGGCUCAACUUCGGGUCGGCCACUGAUACUGUUGGGCUUGAGCACUGUAGAGGCAGGUGGAAUUCCGGGUGUAGCGGUGGAAUGCGUAGAGAUCCGGAAGAACACCGGUGGCGAAGGCAGCCCCCUGGGCUGACACUGACGCUCAGGCACGAAAGCCAGGGGAGCAGACGGG
rnacentral:rRNA from 1 species